UACGUAGGGUGCAAGCGUUGUCCGGAAUUAUUGGGCGUAAAGGGCUCGUAGGCGGUCCAUCGCGUCGGGAGUGAAAAGCUGGGGCUUAACCCCAGUCCUGCUUCCGAUACGGGUGGACUAGAGGUAGGUAGGGGAGAACGGAAUUCCUGGUGUAGCGGUGAAAUGCGCAGAUAUCAGGAGGAACACCGAUGGCGAAGGCAGGUCUCUGGGCAUUAACUGACGCUGAGGAGCGAAAGCAUGGGGAGCGAACAGG
rnacentral:rRNA from 1 species